rnacentral:misc_RNA from 1 species
GAUGAAGAACGCAGUGAAAUGCGAUACUUGGUGUGAAUUGCAGAAUCCCGUGAACCAUCGAGUCUUUGAACGCAAGUUGCGCCCGAAGCCAUUAGGCCGAGGGCACGCCUGCCUGGGUGUCACACGUCGUUGCCCCCCCAUCUACUCCUUCGGGAUUGCGGGGGGCGGAUGAUGGCCUCCCGUGCGCCUCGUCGCGCGGUUGGCAUAAAUGCCAAGUCCUCGGCGACGCACGCCACGACAAUCGGUGGUUGCGAAACCUCGGUUGCCCGUCGUGUGCGGUCGUCGCGCAUCGAGGGCUUGAAAAAAUUGCCGGGCUCCGGCUCGGCUUUCAACGCGACCCCAGGUCAGGCGGGGUUACCCGCUGAAUUUAAGCAUAUCAAUAAGCGGAGGA